rnacentral:misc_RNA from 1 species
GAAAUGCGAUAAGUAAUGUGAAUUGCAGAAUUCAGUGAAUCAUCGAAUCUUUGAACGCACCUUGCGCUCCUUGGUAUUCCUUGGAGCAUGCCUGUUUGAGUAUCAUGAAAUCUUCAAAGUAAAUCUUUUGUUAACUCAAUUGGUUUCUACUUUGGUAUUGGAGGUCUUUGCAGCUUCACACCUGCUCCUCUUUGUUCAUUAGCUGGAUCUCAGUGUUAUGCUUGGUUCCACUCGGCGUGAUAAGUUAUCUAUCGCUGAGGACACUGUAAAAGGUGGCCAAGGUAAAUGCAGAUGAACCGCUUCUAAUAGUCCAUUGACUUGGACAAUACUUUUAUGAUCUGAUCUCCAAUCAGGUAGGACUACCCGCUGAACUUCAGC